UCCCUCUCAGGGUCACCCCUGGUGAGUUUCCAGUACUCUACCAGUUUCGGCUAUAGGAGGGAGAGUCAAGCAGGGGUCUACCCAUUCCAUUCCUAGCUUGAGCAGCAGAUAAUGAGUGGAAGGUAAUCUGCUACAAGU
rfam:Ornithorhynchus anatinus chromosome 3, whole genome shotgun sequence.